GUCCAGCUGACGACGUCCCAAAUAGGACGAAACGCGCGUCCUGGAU
rnacentral:hammerhead_ribozyme from 1 species